AGGAAAGUAAGCUAAAUUUUAAGCUAAUAGGUUCAUACCCUGUUUAUAGAGACUAUCUCUCUUUCCUA
rnacentral:tRNA from 1 species